AUUACCUCCUUUGUAUCUAUACCAUCUAGCCAUCAACAAGAAGUAAGCCAUGUUAACAACCAUGAGUCCUGUGAGCAUGAAGUAGAAGUAAUCCAAUUUCGCUUUGUUCAGAUCCUCAGCUAACCAAUUCCCUGAAGGUGAAUGCGCGGUUGUUCGAUGAACAGUUGAUAUCAAGAAGCUAGCGAGGUAGCUCGAAACCCCUGCACCGACAUAAAAGAUAGAACCCGCGAAGCUCUUCAUGUUUUCAGGAAACUGCUUGUAGUAAAACUCCAUUUGUCCAAUGGCAGCAAAAGCUUCUGCUAUGCCUGCAAGUGUAAGCUGCGG